rnacentral:rRNA from 1 species
UCGAGAAUCAUUCACAAUGGGCGAAAGCCUGAUGGUGUGACGCCGCGUGGAGGAUGAAGGUCUUCGGAUUGUAAACUCCUGUCAUCAGUGAGUAAGGACAUGUGAUUAAUCGUCGCAUGUUUUGAUAUUAGCUGAAGAGGAAGAGACGGCUAACUCUGUGCCAGCAGCCGCGGUAAUACAGAGGUCUCAAGCGUUGUUCGGAAUCACUGGGCGUAAAGGGUGCGUAGGCGGCGUGGUAAGUCAGUUGUGAAAGGCCGGGGCUCAACCCUGGUAUUGCAACCGAUACUGCCGUGCUGGAGUGCUGGAGGGGAGUCUGGAAUUCACGGUGGAGCAGUGAAAUGCGUAGAUAUCGUGAGGAACACCAGUGGCGAAGGCGAGACUCUGGACAGCAACUGACGCUGAGGCACGAAGGCCAGGGGAGCGAACG